CAGUUCAGUGCUUCAUUAUACAGGUGCUGAGCUUCCACUACAGAUCCAUAGGAGGUCUCCUAUCUAAGUGACCUUUCAGUACCUGGGUUUCGGAAUUCCUUUUAUACAAGUUGUCUCACCAUAAGAUGUACCCCUGAAGAAGUCUUUUGUAUAAGACGAAUCGCAUUGGGUUGUCUGUGUUGUGACGUUAUCUCUGAACCAACUUUGAGGAGAAGGAGGAGACUGUUGUGACCCACUCGCAUUUGUAUUCAACCCUAAGAAUUAUACAGCUUUCACUGUGGAAUAAUACGUCUCUUCUGUACUAGUUUGAAUAUGUUUUUAAUAAAUGUUUUA